AUUGAACGCUGGCGGCAUGCCUUACACAUGCAAGUCGAACGGUAACAGGUCUUCGGAUGCUGACGAGUGGCGAACGGGUGAGUAAUACAUCGGAACGUGCCCGAUCGUGGGGGAUAACGGAGCGAAAGCUUUGCUAAUACCGCAUACGAUCUACGGAUGAAAGCAGGGGACCGCAAGGCCUUGCGCGGACGGAGCGGCCGAUGGCAGAUUAGGUAGUUGGUGGGAUAAAAGCUUACCAAGCCGACGAUCUGUAGCUGGUCUGAGAGGACGACCAGCCACACUGGGACUGAGACACGGCACAGACUCCUACGGGAGGCAGCAGUGGGGAAUUUUGGACAAUGGGCGAAAGCCUGAUCCAGCCAUGCCGCGUGCAGGAUGAAGGCCUUCGGGUUGUAAACUGCUUUUGUACGGAACGAAAAGACUCCUUCUAAUAAAGGGGGUCCAUGACGGUACCGUAAGAAUAAGCACCGGCUAACUACGUGCCAGCCGCCGCAGUAACAC
rnacentral:rRNA from 1 species